rnacentral:rRNA from 1 species
UGAGGAAUAUUGGUCAAUGGACGCAAGUCUGAACCAGCCAAGUAGCGUGCAGGAUGACGGCCCUAUGGGUUGUAAACUGCUUUUAUAUGGGGAUAAAGUGGGGAACGUGUUCCCUUUUGCAGGUACCAUAUGAAUAAGGACCGGCUAAUUCCGUGCCAGCAGCCGCGGUAAUACGGAAGGUUCGGGCGUUAUCCGGAUUUAUUGGGUUUAAAGGGAGCGUAGGCCGUUUGGUAAGCGUGUUGUGAAAUGUAGGAGCUCAACUUCUAGAUUGCAGCGCGAACUGUCAGACUGGAGUGCGCACAACGUAGGCGGAAUUCAUGGUGUAGCGGUGAAAUGCUUAGAUAUCAUGAAGAACUCCGAUUGCGAAGGCAGCUUACGGGAGCGCAACUGACGCUGAAGCUCGAAGGUGCGGGUAUCGAACAGG